AACGAACGCUGGCGGCGCGUCUUAAGCAUGCAAGUCGAACGGUAAGGGAGAGCUUGCUCUCCCCUAGAGUGGCGGACUGGUGAGUAACGCGUGGGUGACCUGCCCUGAAGAUGGGGAUAGCUAGUAGAAAUAUUAGAUAAUACCGAAUGUGCUCAUUUACAUAAAGGUAAAUGAGGAAAGGAGCUACGGCUCCGCUUCAGGAUGGGCCCGCGUCCCAUUAGCUAGUUGGUGAGGUAAAGGCUCACCAAGGCAACGAUGGGUAUCCGGCCUGAGAGGGUGAACGGACACAUUGGGACUGAGAUACGGCCCAAACUCCUACGGGAGGCAGCAGCUAAGAAUCUUCCGCAAUGGACGAAAGUCUGACGGAGCGACGCCGUGUGAAUGAAGAAGGCCGAAAGGUUGUAAAAUUCUUUUGCAGAUGAAGAAUGCUGUGAUAUGACUGUAUCUGCAAUAAGCCCCGGCUAAUUACGUGCCAUCAGCCGCGGUAACACGUAAGGGGCAGCGUUGUUCGGAAUUAUUGGGCGUAAAGGGUAUGUAGGCGGUAGGUAAGCCUGGUGUGAAAUCUACGAGCUCAACUCGUAAACUGCAUUGGGUACUGCUUGACUUGAAUCACGGAGGGGAAACCGGAAUUCCAAGUGUAGGGUGGAAUCUGUAGAUAUUUGGAAGAACACCGGUGGCGAAGGCGGGUUUCUGGCCGAUGAUUGACGCUGAUAUACAAGGUGCGGGGAGCAAACAGGAUUAGAUACCCUGGUAGUCCGCACAGUAAACGAUGUACACUAGGUGUCGGGGCAGAGCUUCGGUGCCGUAAGCAAACGCAUUAAGUGUACCGCCUGGGAAGUAUGCCCGCAAGGGUGAAACUCAUAGGAAUUGACGGGGGCCCACACAAGCG
rnacentral:rRNA from 1 species